GAUGAACGCUGGCGGCGUGCCUAAUACAUGCAAGUCGAGCGAAUGGAUUAAGAGCUUGCUCUUAUGAAGUUAGCGGCGGACGGGUGAGUAACACGUGGGUAACCUGCCCAUAAGACUGGGAUAACUCCGGGAAACCGGGGCUAAUACCGGAUAACAUUUUGAACCGCAUGGUUCGAAAUUGAAAGGCGGCUUCGGCUGUCACUUAUGGAUGGACCCGCGUCGCAUUAGCUAGUUGGUGAGGUAACGGCUCACCAAGGCAACGAUGCGUAGCCGACCUGAGAGGGUGAUGGGCCACACUGGGACGGAGACACGGCCCAGACUCCUACGGGAGGCAGCAGUAGGGAAUCUUCCGCAAUGGACGAAAGUCUGACGGAGCAACGCCGCGUGAGUGAUGAAGGCUUUCGGGUCGUAAAACUCUGUUGUUAGGGAAGAACAAGUGCUAGUUGAAUAAGCUGGCACCUUGACGGUACCUAACCAGAAAGCCACGGCUAACUACGUGCCAGCCGCCGCCGCGG
rnacentral:rRNA from 1 species